rnacentral:lncRNA from 1 species
GAAGACUCAGCCAGACUCCUACGGGAGCCGGAUCUCGUCUCCGACUCUGACAGAAGGAAGACUCCGUCCGGACUUUGUCCCCGACCUCGACUGCUGGAAGGCUUUGCCCGGACUCCUACGGGAGCCGGCUCCAUCCUCGACCUCGACUGCUGGUAAACUUCGCCCGGACUCCUAAGGGAGCCGGACUUCGCCCCUGACUUUGAUUGUAGGUGGACUUCGCCCGGGCUCCUACGAGAGCC